rnacentral:lncRNA from 1 species
CAAGACAGACUAGUAACUUGCUGCUCCAAGCCAUUGCUUUUAGAAGUGCAAACAGUUCGAUUUCAGAUGGAUUUCAGUUUUCUCACCUAACUUCCUGAAAAGCCAAUAGACCCAGUUGCUGAAGAAUUGGAAGGACUAAAAAUCUGUUUUUCAAAAAAAGUUACCAUUGUGGAAAAUGUCUACAGAGGCAGCUGUUCUAUCCACAGAGAGGAACGUCAAAAGUUGCACAGAAUUUCCACUACUUCUGAAAGCAACCUGUUCCACCCAGAAAAGAAGUUACUUAUGAAUGAAAGUCUUACCCUUGUUAGGAAAGAGGAGGAUCAUUUGAAUCAAUAAAGGAAGGCAUUAUCAGAAAGGCAUUCAGGAAGCAGAAUCCCAUGCCUCAGAUGUCAUCAAUGCUGGCAACAUAAUUUUGUUAAAUAAUUUUAAUGGAAGAGAGUCUUUGUGGAUUUUCUUUGAAACGAACCAUUUGGAGGGCAUCUUGUGAAUAAAAAGAGGUGCGGAAUGUUGCCUUUGUUCA